rnacentral:lncRNA from 1 species
GGCGCACGCGGGGAGGCGGCAGCGAGGGAGACAGCAAGCUCGGCGGGGGCUCCGCGGCGGAUCCCGGGGGCUCCUGCAGCGCCAGCGGGAACUGCAGCGAACCCGAGCCGCCCAGCAGGCUGUAGCACAGUCCACAGAGUUCACUGAAGUGUAACUUCCUAAACUGCUGAGAACAUGACAGCUAUGACUCAAAGCCUGCCAAGACACAGAGCCAGCCUAUAUGUCCCGCAGCAGAUGAAGAGAUAAAGAAAUCUGAUGAAUGAAACCACGACAUUUUUCAGAAAUAUUGAUGGAGCAGCAGGUCAUCAUGGCUUUCCCUGGGAACUCGGUCCGUUUGUCUCAGCCACAGGCUUGAAGCCCACCCGUUCACUGAUUCCUCACACAGUCUAUUCAACUCCUUCAGUUGUUCACAGAGGCCCUCUGUGCCCUCUACACUUGAGCUAUUUUAAUUUGACAUAAUUUAUAUAUUCCGGCACUACAAUUAAAUAGUAUGUCUUUAAAUAA